rnacentral:rRNA from 1 species
GAUGAACGCUGGCGGCGUGCCUAAUACAUGCAAGUCGAGCGAACAGACGAGGAGCUUGCUCCUCUGACGUUAGCGGCGGACGGGUGAGUAACACGUGGAUAACCUACCUAUAAGACUGGGAUAACUUCGGGAAACCGGAGCUAAUACCGGAUAAUAUAUUGAACCGCAUGGUUCAAUAGUGAAAGACGGUUUUGCUGUCACUUAUAGAUGGAUCCGCGCCGCUUUAGCUAGUUGGUAAGGUAACGGCUUACCAAGGCGACGAUGCGUAGCCGACCUGAGAGGGUGAUCGGCCACACUGGAACUGAGACACGGUCCAGACUCCUACGGGAGGCAGCAGUAGGGAAUCUUCCGCAAUGGGCGAAAGCCUGACGGAGCAACGCCGCGUGAGUGAUGAAGGUCUUCGGAUCGUAAAACUCUGUUAUUAGGGAAGAACAAAUGUGUAAGUAACUAUGCACGUCUUGACGGUACCUAAUCAGAAAGCCACGGCUAACUACGUG